rnacentral:rRNA from 1 species
UUAAAAUGUAGUUGAAAAAAUUAAAUUAGUAAUAGAUAUGAUCUUGAAAAUAAAAAAAUUUGGCGGUAUUUUAGUCUAUUCAGAGGAACCUGUUUUAUAAUUGAUAUUCCACAGUUUAUAUUGCUUACUUUAAAAAUUUAUAUAUCAUUGUAGYAGGAAUAUUUUAGGAGGAUUUUAAUAUUCAAAAGUUAUWGUUAAUAGAAAAUAUCAGAUCAAGGUGUAGUUUAUAAGUGAGAAGUAAUGGGUUACAAUUAAUUUAUUAAAAUAGAUUUAUUUAUGAAAUUAAAUAAUGAAAGUGGAUUUGAAAGUAAUUAAAAUUAAAUUAUUAAGAUGAUUUUAGCUCUAAGAUAUGU